GCGACGUUCUGGAUGCACUGGACAAACACCUCAUUCCAGCAGCUACCACUGGCAAGUCCAAGGUUUUCUAUUAUGAAAUGUCUUGUUAGCUGCCAUCUCUGGGAAGGAGAAAGUGUUUUUAUAGAUACGCAUGGCAAGGACAAAUAAUGGAGCUGAAAUGCAAGGGUGGAUGGCAAAUAAAUUGCAUCUUGUGAACUACCUCCAACUAAUUUCUGCCUGGAGCACUGUGUUUAAAAGGAUUCCUAGGCCACAUCUGGAGGGAUCCGGGAAAAAAGAAAACAAAAGAGAUGUAACGAAGCCCUCAGAUACAGAAGUAGAACAACAGAUUGUGGAUUGGGCUGGCAUUUUGCCAGGAUACAGCAGGAAGACGGGGGCACAGGAAA